ensembl:lncRNA
CGGAGUAUGACGCUAACAUGGGGAAGGGAUGGAAAAGGAUGCUGUUGCAGAGGAGAUGAAUGAAAUCAAUGGAGUGACCUGGUGGAACAAGGCAGGCAAAGGUCCUCAGAGAGCAAAACGGAACUGUGUAUGUUGAGGACUUGGAAAAGAGGUGCUACGUGAAGAGGUCUUGGGGUUUUUCCAGGACUACUAUGGUGAACAAUGCAUAUCAAAGGCUUGAACGUUGCAGCAGUUAACACAGAUAAAAUAGAAAACAAGUACUGCAGAACCUACGCUCUCUGGUAACGUAUACUGCUAAACAUUCUUUUCAUGCCAAGAGCUCUUAACAUAGAAACCUAUCAAGUAACACAGCACCGAGUGGGGUCAAAGAGAUGUUCCCCAAAUACACGAGAAUUCACACUCUCAGUCUUCCCUUUCCAAAUAUAAGGAUCAAAAUAAUUUUCGGG